GGGGGGGGGGGGCGGGGGGCCGAGCGGGUGCGAGUCGGGGGGCGGCGCGGUAGGAGCUUGCUCUUACGGGUGGCGAGUGGCGGACGGGUGAGGAAUACAGCGGACUCUACUUUUUCGUGGGGGAUAACGUAGGGAAACUUACGCUAAUACCGCAUACGACCUACGGGUGAAAGCAGGGGAUCUUCGGACCUUGCGCGAUUGAAUGAGCCGAUGUCGGAUUAGCUAGUUGGCGGGGUAAAGGCCCACCAAGGCGACGAUCCGUAGCUGGUCUGAGAGGAUGAUCAGCCACACUGGAACUGAGACACGGUCCAGACUCCUACGGGAGGCAGCAGUGGGGAAUAUUGGACAAUGGGCGCAAGCCUGAUCCAGCCAUACCGCGUGGGUGAAGAAGGCCUUCGGGUUGUAAAGCCCUUUUGUUGGGAAAGAAAAGCAGCAGGUUAAUACCCCGCUGUUCUGACGGUACCCAAAGAAUAAGCACCGGCUAACUUCGUG
rnacentral:rRNA from 1 species